UAGUAUUUAUUAGAUAUUAAACCAAUCCUUCGGGUUGUGAUGAUUCAUAAUAACUGAUCGAAGCGAGGAUUUCCUUGCUAAAUCAUUCAAGUUUCUGCCCUAUCAGCUUUAGAUGGUAGUGUAUUGGACUACCAUGGCUAUCACGGGUAACGGAGAAUUAGGGUUCGAUUCCGGAGAGGGAGCCUGAGAAAUGGCUACCACAUCUAAGGAUGGCAGCAGGCGCGAAAAUUGCCCAAUCCCGAUUCGGGGAGGCAGUGACAAGAAAUAACAACCCAGGGGUUUCCCCAGGGAUUGUAAUGAGAAAAAUCUAAAAAACUUAUCGAGCAUCAACUGGAGGGCAAGCUAUGGUGCCAGCAGCCGCGGUAAUUCCAUCUCCAGUAGCGUAUAUUAAAGUUGCUGCAGUUAAAAAGCUCGUAGUUGAAAUUCUGUCCGGUUGAGCGAUUUCCAAAAGGUUUUCGCCUCACCGGGCAUCAGUCUGCAAUCAUUUUCACGACAUUCACUUGUCGGGAUUGGGAGCAGGCGUUUUACCUUGAGAAAAUUAGAGUGUUCCAGGCAGGCUUCAGCCCGAAUACAUUAGCAUGGAAUAAUAGAAUAGGACUAGAGACUAUUUAUUGGUUUAAGGCUUUAGUAAUGAUUAAUAGGAACAGUCGGGGGCAUUAGUACUUGACAGUCAGAGGUGAAAUUCUA
rnacentral:rRNA from 1 species